GACGAACGCUGGCGGCGUGCCUAACACAUGCAAGUCGAACGGAGAUACGAUUUCGGUUGUAUCUUAGUGGCGAACGGGUGAGUAACGCGUGAGCAACCUGACUCUUAGAGGGGGAUAACACCUGGAAACAAGUGCUAAUACCGCAUAAGACCACGACAUGGCAUCAUGACGAGGUCAAAGGAGCAAUCCGCUGAGAGAGGGGCUCGCGUCCCAUUAGAUAGAUGGCGGGGUAACGGCCCACCAUGUCAGCGAUGGGUAGCCGAGCUGAGAGGCUGAUCGGCCACACUGGAACUGAGACACGGUCCAGACUCCUACGGGAGGCAGCAGUGGGGAAUAUUGGGCAAUGGGCGCAAGCCUGACCCAGCAACGCCGCGUGAGGGAAGAAGGC
rnacentral:rRNA from 1 species